GACGACGCUGGCGGCGUGCCUAAUACAUGCAAGUAGGACGAGUUGCGAACGGGUGAGUAAUGUCUGGGAAACUGCCUGAUGGAGGGGGAUAACUACUGGAAACGGUAGCUAAUACCGCAUACCAUCGGAUGUGCCCAGAUGGGAUUAGCUAGUAGGUGGGGUAAAGGCUCACCUGGGCGACGAUCCACCGCUGGUCUGAGAGGAUGACCAGCCACACGGGAACUUAGACACGGUCCAGACUCAUACGGGAGGCAGCAGUGGGGAAUAUUGCACAAUGGGCGCAAGCCUGAUGCAGCCAUGCCGCGGUGAUGAAGAAGGCCUUCGGGUUGUAAAGUACUUUCAGCGGGGAGGCGUUACCCGCAGAAGAAGCACCGGCUAACUCCGUGCCAGCAGCCGCGGUAAUAC
rnacentral:rRNA from 1 species